UAGCCGAAAAGAACGCUGGGAACAAGAAUGCCUACCUAGAUCUGUGAAGAACAAGUGUUGUAUUAUUGUUACUGUUACUUUUAUCUGUUUGUAUCCUGUCGAAGGCACCAUGAUCGAUGGGAUCUUCAUCUACCUAUGUGUAUAGAUAACAUUGUAGUAAUGUUAUUUCACUACACUUUAUUUUGCAUACAAAUGGGCGCCAUUGUUAUGAUCUUUGUCACGCCGAAUUUUGCAUCAACAUCGGUGUUAUUAUAAAUAGAUCUAUAAAAAAUUAAAUUAUUUAAUAAGUU